CUAUUUUUCUCUUUGCAACUUCUUCUCUCAUCCAAACAUCCAAACACUCCCAAAGUGUUUCUCUCUCUGCCUUCGCGUUUUCUUAACCAUGAACGAUAAACCCUAAAUCACCAUCAUCACCACCAUAGUCAUAAACCCUAAAUCACCACUAUCACCACAACCAUAGUCAUAAACCCUAAAUCACCAUCAUCACUACUCUCACCACAACCAUAAUCACAAACCCUAAAUCGAUAAUCAACAGAAAAUGUAUUGAUAUAGCAUGGUUCCGUUUCGGUUUCUUCACUCUCUCAUCACCUCUCUACGUUUCCAGAUUUAAGUUUCUUCACUCUCUCAAUCUCUCACUGCAACUAACGUUUCUCUCCAAUCGUUGCUACAAUCUCACUUUCUUCGCGCGGCUACCACCAUCAACCAUACCCACUCUUUUCUCUCCAGAUGCUAGUGGAAAAUUUGUUGGAGGUUUUGGUGACCCUAGCAAAGGCUUUGAACUCUGCAAAUUAGAGGCUUCAUCAGAAGUUUUAUUUCUGAAUUCUGAUUCUAUGUGUUUGAUGUUGGAGAGCAAGUCCGAUGGGGAUCAGGGAGGUUGUAGUUGGAAUUAUGGCGGUAUUCGAUGGUUAUAACGGUGCUGAAGUUUUAUAUCAAAGACUUCUACAGGAACAUUGCUCCACAUACGGUGUUGAAUUUGUUAGCAAAUUAGUAAUGCUUUUAUAACUUUAGCUUUUAAGAGAAUUGGUAUUGUACUUUAGUCUAACCAAACCACACAUUUGGGACAAAUUGUCUUCUCCAUAUGGUGACAGAUGAACAAACAUAUAUUUUGCUAAUGAAAAGAGACACUGUCCCCUUUAUUUACUGUUUUAUUUUGCCUCGUGUUCCCCCAUGAAUAUACAUACUUUUGUAGCCAAUCUGCUCUUUAUUUGUAUUAAGAAGGUUGUACUAAAGUUUACUACUUUUUUUGUUUAGGUUGUUCUUUUAGAAUCCCAGGAUAGAGUUGGUGGCACGAUUCACAGUGAUUACUCAUUUUGUUUUCCUGUUGACCUUGGGGCAUCAUGCUAUGCACUCUUUGAUAUGGAUGGAAAGCAAGUUCCACAAGAGUUG